GACGAACGCUGGCGGCGUGCCUAAUACAUGCAAGUCGAACGCAGUGGGGACGGGUGAGUAACACGUGGGUAACCUCCCAUCAGAGGGGAUAACACUUGGAAACAGGUGCUAAACCGAUACUGAUGGAUGGACCCGCGGUGCAUUAGCUAGUGGGGGAGGAACCGGCUCACCAAGGCCACGAUGCAUAGCGGGCACGAGAGGGUGACAAGCCACACUGGGACUGAGACAAGGCCCAGACUCCUACGGGAGGCAGCAGUGGGGAAUGUUCGGCAACGGACGAAAGUCUGACCGAGCAACCACGCGUGUGUGAAGAAGUUUUUCGGAGCGUAAACCGCUGUUGUUAGAGAAGCGGUAUCUAACCAGAAAGCCACGGCUAACUACGUGCCAGCAGCCGCGGUAAUAC
rnacentral:rRNA from 1 species